rnacentral:lncRNA from 1 species
UUUCCCCUUCCAUCAGCCACCUUUUCUGUUGGUUCAACAACAUAUGUAGAUUCAUCAUCCAGUGGGAGACUAUGCUUUCCUGUUGUUAAUUCCUAAUUAAUGGGUCCUGCAGGUGCUGUACCUUCUCAUUUUCACUAGGCCUCAUGUAGUGAGUAUCUCUUAUGGUAGCAACAGUGCUAGUGCUGAAAGCAGUUCAAAAUGGGGUAGACAGGUUCUAGACUUAAAUGCAGGGCCUGGCGUCCCAGACAUAGAAGGUAGAAAUGAGACACCGCCUUUUGUGCCGAGGCAACUGUCUGUUGCCGGUGCACAGGUCCUACUGGAGGACCAAGCAAGAAUGUAUCAGAUGGCAGAUGGCCAUUUGAAGAGGAAGGAACCUGAAGGAGGAUGAGAUGGUUACAAGCGGCCCUCAUGGCACUAGGGAUGGCUAAUGUGACAAUUUGCUGACCCAUAGAAUAUUUUAAGUUCAUGGUACGUGUCCUUAACUGGUACAAUGUUUUAUCUUUGGCAUAUUGUUUAGGACUGAAAUGCUCCUCUUUAUGUUGAAUUGCUGAUGACAUUUAUCUUGGCACUAGCAAUGUUCUCUUUGGCAUGUUCAUUGUUUAGCAUCUUUAUCACGAUUGUCUUGUUCUGUUGCAACCCCACAAAAAAAAGGGAAAAAAAAGUAACUGAUAUCAAUGGUAUUUGUCCAUUUUCAACAUUUUUUAUUCUGUUUUUGGCUCCCCCAUUUCAUUUCCGGAUAUGUAUGAACUAUUUUCCAAGGAUUUUUCAUUUUGGGAUUGAAUUACACGCAUACAUUUUAUGGAUUUCCCUUGCUCUCUUUUGGAUGCUUUGUUCUCUUUCCCCUUUGAUGUUCAUUUUUCUUUCUCCAGUUCUUAAAGGAUGGCCGUUGACUUAACCCCUGAGGUCAGUUAAUUUGUGCGCCUGGAGGUUGUGUGGUAAGUGAGUUAUUGAUGUAGUUCAUUGUCUUCAACCCCAUCCUCCUGCUCCACCAACCAACCGUGGUAUAAAAGAAUCUGUUGUGGUCUUCGUCGCUGAAUUUUUUCUAGGUGGUAUUUGUGCAGAACGGUUUCCUGUUUGUACAUAUUUUAAUUGUUGGAAGCAUGCAUUUUGCUCAGACAUUUAUGGUUGGUGCUUGUAGUGGUGUUUAUGCAUCAGCUAUAUAAACCAUUUGGAUCUAGACUAACAAUCAAUAUCCAAUGCUUCUUGUAAUGGAGCUUGGAUUGAUCUGCUUUAAGCAGAAGAUGUACUUCGAUGUUAAUUUAUCUUUCUUUCCAGUCUCCCCUUUUGACCCCAGUUUUGUUAGUCACAUGAACAUCCAUCUUCUGUGGUUUCCUGCAAGUUAAUCAUGUACUAUUAUUAUCGGCCCCGAUUUUAAUCCUUAAUCCUUAUGGUUUUCUAAGUUCCCACCCAUCUUAGCCAGUAAGAUUCCAAACUCAAUUUACAUUCUACUUAAUCAUCAUUUUGCCUUUUGCAUACCUGGCAUUUUUUGUUCACCGGUGGCAUUUGUACAUAUAGGUCUAUGCCUUGUUGUUUCGGCUAUUGCAUUAUCUCUAUACUUAAUUUAUUAGAUUGCCUGUUACUGAAAUUAGUGUAUAACAAAUUUUAUAAAGUUUUGAAAAUUUGUACUGUAUUGUUGCUGAAAUUUCAUCUUAUUCUUUGUGGCCUUAAAGGGACAAUGCAACAAUCGGAGCCACAGGCACAGCCCAUGGAUACUUCAACUGCCUAUAAUAUAGCGGUGCCCCAACUGGUGCUUAUGCAAAUCAAUAUUAUGGGUCACAGAGCAAUGCUGAAAAAUAACAAGAGGCUGUGGUUGAUUAUCUGUACAUUAGAGAACCAUUGACAUACAUACGGUUGUAUCUCUAACGCUCGCUUCUGUUUAAUGAAAAUUUGAAUGUUACAUGACCAGCAUUGCUGCCCUCAAUUUUUGUAAGGAAAGCGGAGGUUGAAAAUGAAAAUUGCCAAUCCCUUUUCUUUUUUCCGCUGGAAAAUUGUCAUUCUGAUUUGGCAUAAUUGGUUGCAAUCAUCAGAGCAAUCACAUCCGCAAACGGCAAAAGAUUGAAAACGACACUACAAAGUUCAGUUCAACUUAAAAUUAUAAAGUUCAAUUCAAUUUAAAAUUAUAAAGUUCAGUUCGAGUCUACAAACUUGGGCUUGUAGCCCAAUGGUGAACCAUUGCCCUCAAAGUUAAACAUGACUAUGAGGGCAAUGGUUCGAGUCCCCACGGACUCAACCUCUCUCAAUUAAACAUAAUUAUAUGAACUUCUUAUAAAGUCUUUCUCCCUUGCGAAAUGUGAGUGGAGUAGAGACAUCCCUUCUCCGUAAGGGAUAUUUGGAUGGGCAUGUACUUCAUAAAAUAAAAAUGUAAUAAUAUAAUGACCUGCUGUCAUAACAGUUGUAUAUAUCUUUUCCUUGCGAAAUGUGAGUGGAGUAGAGACAUCUCUUCUCCGUAAGGGAUAUUUGGAUGGGCAUGUACUUCAUAGAAUAAAAAUGUAAUAAUAUAAUGACAUGCUGUCAUAACAGUUGUAUAUGAGACAUCUCUUCUCCGUAAGGGAUAUUUGGAUAGGCAUGUACUUCAUAGAAUAAAAAUGUAAUAAUAUAAUGACCUGCUGUCAUAACAGUUGUAUAUAUCUUUAUGUAAUACAGUAACCUGAUGCUUAAUCAGUUAAAAAAAAAACUUAAAAUUAUAAAUAAAAUAAAAAAAUUACUAAACCACGCGCAUGCCGUGGCUAAAGUUUAUAUAUCGGUAGAAAAAUUAGAACAGCAAUCGGUUAAGUUAAUGAUUAAAAAAGAAAAAAGAAAAAAGAAAAAAGAAAUAUAAAUUAUAAAAAAAAAAGGCAAAACAAAACCGCAUUCCAAAAACGAAAAAAGAGAUCGAGGGGCGAAAUUUGCCAAAUUUGUGAUUAAGCUGACGUGGAGCUGCCAUACCAAUAACAACUCACCAAGUAAAACACGUACGCCUUUCCUCUUUGCUGUCUCUCUCUUCUCUUCGAUUGCUCUUCAUUUUUGGCCCUCUUUCGCUGCUUUCUCUCUCUCGAUUCUCUCUUUCGAUUCUCUCAAUCUCUUUGCUUACCUAGGUCAAUCUCUGGCUCUUUUUCUGGAUCUCAGUUCCAAUUAGAUCGCUUUGUUUGUUUGAAAUCAAUUGGUUACUUUUUCCCCCAAACAAAAAAAAAUUAGGGUUCGGAUUGAUGGUUGGUGAUCUAGGGCUCGUGAAUAGGUGAAAAAAAGAGGGUUGUGACUGUAAGAAGCGGAAUUGAGGAUUGAUGGUACUCAAUAUCGGGCAAAAUGUUGCAAGGGUAUCAUGCGUAUGCGUAUGCAUGGAUGGAGGGCAGGUGAAGAGGAAGGGGAUAGAAAACGGGAAGGUCGUCGACGGCACAUGUGGACUGUCCCUCCACGUGACUCUGCGAUUUUAGCUUCAGUUGCUGAUGGUGGUUCUGCCUCUCCUUCCUCUUCUUCUUCUUUGUCCUCUUCUCCCAAUUCAGUUACUUUCUUUUCUCAGGUAAUUGUUCGAAUACUGAUUUUUUUCGGCCUGUUUGAUUUUUUCGUUUUGAUGGAUCAAUAAGUGAGGGAUUGAAUUGGUUUUCCUUUUUUCUUCAUUAUUAUUAUUAUUAUUAUUUGGGUGGGGGAAUGGAAUUCUGUUGGGGUUUGAUUGAUUUGUGUGGAAACGUGUGAAAUUGAUCUAAUCUUUGUAGACAUGCUAAAAUUAGGGUAGUUCUGAAAUUUUUUAGCAAUUUUUAAUGUUUUGAUCAUUUGGGGCUUUUAUAGCGUGGAGUUUUUAAGCGUAUGCAAUGGUUAUUUUUCUUCAAAGUUCUUGUUAAAUUUAAAAGAUUUCUAUUCUCAAAACUGUUAUUUUACUUGUUCUCAACGAAGAAAGAAGGAGGUCUUGAAGAUCGCUCUUUUUAGGGGGGAAAAAAUUAAUUGAAUGGUUUUCUCAUUCCAAUUCUGAGUUGGUGGCUGAUUAUCUGUCUACACGGUUUUCAUGUGUGAAAUUAUGAACAUUUAUGAUACAGUUGCAAUCUCUAAAUUGGGCAUGUUGUAGGAGGGACAUUUAAUUGCAUAUUGAAACAUUUGAUUACCUGAACAAGAUGAUGUUGUUUAUCUGAUAGCCAAUUGUUACUAGCAUAUUAUUUUGUUAGUAGAUGUAUUUUUCUUGGAUGACAGUGAUGAUGAUGAUGAUUAAUGGGAAGAAUUGUCAGUGGUAGUGUCGUUUAAUGUUUAAACUUAGGUUUCUGCAACUAAAGUUUUUGAAUGCCUUUACACCAGGCUUCGUAGUUUAUUACCAUGUUAAUGGAUUGAGUAUUUAUUACAGCAUUUUCCUUUUUAUUGUGUGGAGCCAUUUUUUGUUUGACCAAAUUUUGUCAAUUUCUCCAUAGGACGGACGGAAAAUUAGUGUUGGUGAUUGCGCACUUUUCAAACCGCCCCAGGAUUCCCCUCCCUUCAUUGGAAUAAUUCGUUCACUGACUGCUGGUAAAGAAAAUAAGUUAACUUUAAGUGUGAAUUGGCUUUAUCGACCUGCUGAAGUUAAACUUGGCAAAGGCUUCCUGUUGGAGGCGGCGCCAAACGAAAUCUUUUAUUCCUUUCAUAAGGAUGAGAUUCCUGCUGCUUCCUUACUUCACCCGUGUAAAGUUGCAUUCCUUCCAAAAGGUAUUGAACUUCCAUCAGGGAUUGGUUCUUUUGUGUGCCGGAAAGUAUAUGACAUCACAAACAAGUGUUUAUGGUGGCUAACUGAUCAAGAUUAUAUUAAUGUGAGUUUUGAAUACUCUGCUCUUCUCAUCUUUCUAUAUUUAGCUAUAGGUUGUUGCUUUUCCUGGUAAUCUGUAUUUUUUAACCGCUUCAGGAACGACAGGAAGAAGUAGAUCAACUUUUAUAUAAGACGCAUAUAGAAAUGCAUGCAACAGUACCAUCAGGUGGCCGUUCCCCAAAGCCAAUGAAUGGUCCAACAUCAACGUCUCAGCUAAAACCUGGUUCGGAUGGUGCACAGAAUAGUGCCUCUUUUCCUUCACAAGUGAAGGGGAAGAAAAGGGAGAGAGGAGAUCAGAGUUCUGAGCCAGUUAAACGAGAACGAUCCUCAAAAAUGGAGGAUGGGAAUUCUGGACACAGUAGAACAGAAACUAAUUUAAAAACUGAGAUUGCAAAAAUUACAGAGAAAGGUGGGCUUGUAGAUUAUGAUGGGGUUGAGAAAUUGGUGCAGCUCAUGGUUCCUGAGAGAAAUGAUAAGAAAAUUGACCUCGUCUGCCGGUCAUUGCUUGCUGGUGUGGUGGCAGCAACAGAUAAAUUUGAUUGCCUUAACUGGUUUGUGCAGUUAAGGGGUUUGCUUGUGUUUGAUGAAUGGCUGCAGGAGGUCCAUAAAGGGAAGAUAGGCGAUGCUGGCAGCCCCAGGGAUGGUGAUAAAUCAGUUGAGGAAUUUCUUUUAAUUUUGCUUCGUGCGCUUGAUAAGCUGCCAGUAAAUCUUAAUGCCUUACAAAUGUGUAACAUCGGAAAGUCUGUGAAUCAUUUGCGGACACACAAGAACGUGGAAAUUCAGAAAAAAGCUAGGAGUUUGGUUGACACAUGGAAGAAACGUGUUGAGGCAGAAAUGGAUGCUAGACCCCGGCUGCCUGAAGUUCCUCACAGUGGGAACAGACAGACGGGUGCAUCCUCUGAGGUUGCCAUAAAGAGCCUUGUAACACAACCAGCUUCUUCUAAAACUGGUGCAGUAAAGCUUUGCCAAGGGGAUGCUCCUACAAAGUCUGCGUUUUCCUCUCCAGUGUCUGUGAAAUCAGCUCCAUUGCCUGCAUCAGGGAGUACAGAUGCAAAAGAUGGACAGCCCCGAAAUGCUGCUUCUGCUACUGGUACCACUGACCUUCCUUCUACUCCUGCAAAGGAUGAGAAAAGCAGCAGUUCAAGUCAAUCCCACAACAACGGUCAAUCUUGCGUGGGUGACCAUGCAAAAACUGGGGGAUUAUCUGGGAAGGAGGAUGCUAGGAGCUCUGCCACUGUUUCAAUGACUCUGAAUAAGAUCUCGGUUGGUUCUUCACGGUCUCGGAAAUCAGUCAAUGGUUACCCCAGUUCCACACCAGCUGGGGUUCAAAGAGAAACUGUGUCAAGCAAAAAUGCUACCUUGCACAGAAAUUCAGCUUCAGAUAGACCAUCUCAGCCAAGUCUGACAUGUGAAAAGGCACUUGAUGUACCUGUGGUGGAGGGGGCCAAUCCCAAAAUAAUAGUCAAGAUUCCAAAUCGAGGUCGAAGUCCAGCACAAAAUUCCAGUGGAGGAUCUGUUGAAGACACUUCAGUCACCAACAGCCGAGCAUCUUCUCCUGUGCUUCCAGAGAAGCAGAACCAAUUUGAUCGUAACUUCAAGGAAAAGAAUGAUGCCCUUCGAGCUGAUAUUUCUUCCAAUAUGAAUAGUGAGCCUUGGCAAAGCAAUGUUAACAAGGAUGCAGCUGCUUGUCCAGACGAGGGAAGUGGGUCACCUGCUGUUCUGCCCGAUGAGCAGGGGGGUAAGACUGGUGAUAAUUGUAGGAAAGUGGUUGAAGAUUUAGAAGAUAAUUCCUUACCGCCAGGAUAUGAGUUUAAAGAUGUAAAAUUGCAUGAGUCUUCAUUCAGUUCUAUGAAUGCUCUAAUUGAAAGUUGUGUCAAGUAUUCUGAAGCAAAUGUUUCUGCGCCUGCUGGAGAUGACAUUGGAAUGAACCUUCUAGCUAGUGUGGCUGCUGGAGAGAUGUCCAAAUCUGAUGUAGUUUCACCAGUUGGUUCUCCGCCAAGGACCCCCAUUCAUGAGCCUCUUUGUGAUGAUAAUGAUUCAAGAGUGAAAUCAUUUCCUGGAGAUCAUUCUACUGAUAGCACUGAUGACGAGCAUGAGAAGCAGGGUAUUGAUCGUAAUUUGUGGGCUAAAAAUUCUGACAGUAAUCAAGACAAACCUGCAGGAGGUCUAACGGGACACAUCAGUGCUUCCCCUGUGGAUGUGCAGCAGAGUGGAGAUCCAUGCCAAGAGAACACUGAAAACUCGAAAGAAAUAAUAGUUGCGGAGGAGACACCUGAUGGUGCAGGAAGAAAUCCUGAAGAGGACAAGGCUGGUUUCAGAGUGGAUGCCGAUGGCGCUCCUGAUGGUAAACAGAGGAUAAGUGGCCCUUUGUCAACUGAGGAUAAGGUUUCUGAGUCCACUCGAGGAGUUGAGACUGAAGCCGUUGAAGGAUCAGCAUCAAACCAGUCUUUGGAAUUUGAUGGCGAGAACAAGAAAGGUGUGAGUGAAGGAUUGAACAGCGGUGUGAAGAGAGAGCAAAAGCCAUCUCCCAUUACCACUCACUCUGAGUCUGUGAAAGGAAAGGAUGGAGAACUGCUACAUACUUCUGGUUCUGGUGAAGAUAUGCCUCUGAAAAAUGUUGAUGAAGUGAAGGUUGAAAAGGCUGAUGAGGUAGAUUCCAAGAGUCAUGUCAAUCAAACUGAAGAACAAAAUUCUGAAUGGAAAAGCAAUGCUCCAAUGAUUCGUGAGGAUCGGGUUGUACCACAUUUGGGCUCAGCAGAGAAUGAGGAGAAGGGUAAUGGUAAGGUUGACCACAGAGAAAAUUUGGAAGGUAAGGAAGUUAAAGAGGAGCUUUGUGCUGGCCCAGCUCUUCCUGAGGUAUCAACUGCAUUGCGAGCACAGGAAACAGGGCAGCUUGUGAGGACUGGUGCGGUUAAGUUGACUAUCUCUGAAGGAGACAAAGCACAAGAAUCUACAUCUACCACUAUAGAUGCUGCAUCCUCUGCUGUGGGGGUUUCAGAUAUGGAAGCAAAAGUUGAAUUUGAUUUGAAUGAAGGUUUUGAUGGGGAUGAUGGGAAAUAUGGGGAGUCAAGUAAUUUCAUAGUCCCGGGAUGUUCUGGUGUUGUUCAACAGUUGGUUAGCCCGUUGCCUCUUCCUGUUACUUCUGUGUCCAGUAGCCUUCCUUCUUCAGUAACAGUGGCUGCUGCAGCAAAAGGGCCUUUUGUACCACCGGAGGACCUCCUGAGGAGUAAAGUGGAACUUGGUUGGAAAGGAUCUGCUGCAACAAGUGCAUUUCGCCCAGCUGAACCAAGAAAGAUAUUAGAGAUGCCACUGGGGGCGACUAGCAUUUCUGUUCCUGAUUCAACAUCUGGAAAGCUUGGUCGUCCUCUAUUGGAUAUUGACUUAAAUGUACCAGAUGAGAGAGUCCUAGAGGAUUUGGCUUCUCGAAGCUCUGUUCAGGAUACAGUCACUGCAUCCGACCAUACCAAUAACCGUGAUGGGUCACGCUGUGAAGUGAUGGGUUCUAAAUCUGUCCGCGGCUCUGUCGGACUUGAUCUUGAUUUGAAUAGAGCUGAGGAGCUUAUUGAUAUUGGUAAUUACUCAACUAGCAAUGGGAAUAAAAUAGAUGUCCCAGUUCAGCCUGGCACAUCGUCAGGUGGUCUUUUGAAUGGUGAGGUGAAUGUUCGCAGGGAUUUUGAUUUGAAUGAUGGACCGGUUUUGGAUGAUUGUAGUGCUGAACCAUCAGUCUUUCCCCAGCACCCCAGAAAUGUAUCUCAGGCACCAGUUUCUGGCCUUCGGUUGAGCAGUGCAGAUACAGUAAACUUUUCUUCAUGGUUUCCUAGGGGGAACACUUAUUCAACUAUCGCAGUUCCAUCAGUCUUGCCUGAUAGAGGAGAGCAGCCAUUUCCAAUUAUUGCACCCUGUGCACCACAGAGAAUGUUGGCUCCCCCUACUAGUGGCUCUCCUUUUGGUCCCGAUGUUUUCAGGGGACCAGUAUUGUCAUCUUCUCCUGCGGUGCCCUUUCCAUCUGCCCCAUUUCAAUAUCCAGUCUUUCCUUUUGGAACCAGCUUUCCCCUACCAUCAGCCACCUUUUCUGGUGGUACAACAACAUAUGUAGAUUCAUCAUCUGGUGGGAGAUUUUGCUUCCCUGCAGUUAAUUCACAACUAAUGGGUCCUGCAGGUGCAGUCCCAUCUCAUUUUCCUAGGCCUUAUGUAGUUAGCCUCCCUGAUGGUAGCAACAGUGCUAGCUCUGAAAGCAGUUGGAAACGGAGCAGACAGAGUCUGGACUUAAAUGCAGGGCCUGGAGUCCCAGACAUAGAAGGUAGAGAUGAGACUUCACCCCUUGUGC